UACGUAGGUGACAAGCGUUGUCCGGAUUUACUGGGCGUAAAGAGCGCGCAGGCGGUCGUUCAAGUCGAGUGUGAAAGCCCCCGGCUCAACUGGGGAGGGUCAUUCGAUACUGAUCGACUCGAAGGCAGGAGAGGGAAGUGGAAUUCCCGGUGUAGUGGUGAAAUGCGUAGAUAUCGGGAGGAACACCAGUGGCGAAGGCGACUCCCUGGCCUGUUCUUGACGCUGAGGCGCGAAAGCUAGGGGAGCAAACGGG
rnacentral:rRNA from 1 species